AAUUGAAUGAUUAUUUUUAAAACGAUCCUCGAUUGAAUGAACAAAAUUUUUAACAUUAAGAAUUCACGAAAAAGGUCGAAUCGAUUUCAUUGAAACUUUUCGAAAAACUUUUCUUAUGAAAAGUAAUGAUGUUUUUUUGAAACUUUUCAUUCUAAAAAAGCCGAUAUUCUUUCAUCAGGGCCCAGAAUGAUGCGCGAAAAUAAUGAUGCGUGUUAAUAAUAUUUCUAAAAGCUCAUUAAAGAUAUAAUGCACGUUAAAUAUAAACUUUUAUACUAUUUUUUUUACACGCUAAAUAUUAAAUUUAGUAUCUUCUUCCAUGGUGAUUAAAAUAGGCGGCAUUCAGAAAAUUUUCAAAUUAUUUUAAUUAUUUCUAUUUUAUCAUUGUUAUAAGAAAAAAAGUUCAAUAAACAGUCUAAACAUACGCAUUAAUAAAAAAAAAAUAUAUGCCUUAUAUAUAUAUAUAUAUAUUUUUUUUUAUAAAAAUGAAUGAAUUUCGGAAUUUUUUAUAAAUAAUCUCAAAGAUAUAUUCAUUAAUUAUGAAUCAUUUUUUAUCGAUUAAUACCGUACAUAAUCGUAACCUUGAUACAUAAUUAACUUAUUUCAACAAUUUUUCAAGCAAAACAUUUUAUUCAUUAACGACUGUCGUACGAAUCAUAUACAUAAUUUUCAAAUUAUCCGUAAAGGUUUGAUUUUUUUUUAACUAGUAAACGAAAAUAUUUACCUCCGAUUAAAUCGAGGAUAUAUCGAAUCGAUCACAAAUCAUAAAUCAAGAAAUUCUCAUUUGGAUUUAUAUUUUAAAUAUGGAUGUUGAUAUGCAUAAUGGAUAGCCACUACGUUUUCUACAAUUACUACAUCAAAGAUUACGAAAUUCUUAUCGAAGAAUUUUUUUCUAUCUAAAUUGAUUAUCAUGUCCCAUUUUAUCUUAUGUUAUUCAAAGAAUGUGAUAAAAUAACAUCGCAUAGGAAAAAGAAGUCUGUAUUAACUAAAAAACAUUUUUGUUAACGUUGGUAUUAACGAAAUAAAUGAUAAAUAAAUUGCCACUUACUUUGGCGAAAAGUUCGUGUGAUGCUAUGAUAAUCCUUCUUACUGAAAAAUUGCACGGUCUCAUAAUUUGCAAUAUCAGUAUGAGCAAUAUUUUUUGAGUCUUUAUCGACAACAAAUAAAAUGGUACUUGACAACUACACGGAUGGUUUACGUAUGCGUAUUUAAAACUUCAUAAAUCCAAUUUAAUUGUAUAAAUGUUUGACUUAUAUCGUACUUACCAUUUUGUAAAUACAGCACUGUUAUAAUUUAUUAACAUUUGUCCGGAAUAGCAGUAAACGUAUAUCAAAAGGAGACUUGAAAGUAUGUAGGUACAAUCCGAAAUAAUUUCGCUAAUUGUACUUUUCAAAGUAAAAAUCUGAAACAGCUUUGAUUUUUAUGACAUAAAUAAUGUUACAUUAGAUUAAAUCUUAUUAAAAAAUUUUAAGACAUAUAAUACACAUACAAUACGUACACUUACAUAAAGAUAAUCUAUAAUGAUAAGAGACAAUCCCAAUGUUAUUUCUAUUAAGUAAGUUGAUCCAAAUACGAAUUUUAUUAAAUCAACAAAUCUUAAAAGAACAUAUUAAAAAUUAAUAUAUUAAAAAUUUCACGUUAAAUAUUAUUCAAAAAUUAUAACGAUUUACAUUGAAUACAAACCUAAUGGCUUUCUCAUAACUCCUUAUAAUAGAUACAAUCCAAUUGUAUUCCAUAUUCUGCGAUUUAAAAAUCUUUUUCUGUCGCAAACAAUCCAAAUCUAUUUUAAACGGACUAUCUAAUUUUAUCCUUUAAAAUAUUAAAAAAACAUGUCCUUCCUAUUAAACAAAUUCUCGACCAUUGAUCGUGAAUUUAUUUAAAAAUGUGCUAGAUUAAUUACUUACAAAACAAUAUUGAACAAACCAAAACCAUGUUGAAAAAUUGAUAUGAACAAUGAAUAGUUAGCCACUCCUAUCGUACAUACGAGGAAUAUUGCAAUGAAUUCCACAAAAAGCAUGAUAUAGUAAAACUUGAUAUUUAUUAGAUCAAUUUCUAUACGUAUUGGUAAUAUAAAUUGUGUCUUGUCAGUAACACGAAAAAUAUAGAGGAGAUUGUAGGCAGAUGGAAAUAUUAAAGCAAUGAUGUAACCAUAAGAAAAACCUAAUAUAUAUAGAAUAUAUAUAUGUAUAAUAUUUUGGCCAAAUUAUAUCACCAUUGAUGAUAGAAAAUUAAAAUAAUAUUUUAUAUUUCUGUUAUACUCACUUAUGAUCAACAUCGACCAUACUUUACUUUCAUUCGCAUAUUUUUUCAUUAUAAUUAAUUCAUCCUCGUCCUUUAACUUGUUCCAAUCGCUUUUAAUAUGAUUUAUUAUUAACUUCAUCUUUAAAAUUAUAUUUGUAUCGUUGAGAACUCGUUCAAAAGUUUAAAAAUUAAAUUCUGAUGAUUAAAUAAUUCCGAACAAACCUUUGCAUAAUUAUGAAUAAGAUUAUAAUAAUAACAAGUCGAAAAGCAUAUGGUUGGAAGGAACGUUUGAAGUAAUUUGACGAUCAUCUUAAAUCGUUUUUUUGAUUCCAAAUUAUAUAAAAGAUACAACUCUAAAAACUAAUAUUAUUUUUAUCGAUUUAUACAUACACAGAAGAAAGAAAUUUUGAUUACUCCUAUAACUCUUUGAGGUUAAAUCGAUUAAAAAUCGUUCCACUUUUUACUUAGUUUUUUUAUGCACAAUGGGAUAUAUUUUUAAACCAUCUCGAAAAGUUGAAGUUACUCAUAGUCAUACAUAGUUUAAUAUUUUAUUUGAAAUGAAAUAUAUUAAAUAUUAAAAAUUAUAUAAUUAUUAUUAUUAUAUUUAAAAUUAUGUGCAAUAUGGAUUUUUAUUUUCUUUAAAAUCGUCUGCCUCAAAAAGAUAAAGGCCAAAUCUUUCUUCUAUACGAAUCAACUUUUGUUCAUUCAUAAAUCAUUCAUGAAUACUAUAAAGUCCCAUUGUUAAAUAUCACGAUAAUAAUAUACAUACAUAUUAUAUACUAUAUAUACUAUAUCGAUACAUAAUAUUAUUUACCUGUAUAAAAAUAACAAACGCUAAAACAAAAUUUAACAAACGAACACGCAACAAUGUUUUCGGUGAUUUCUGAUAAGACAAUAAACCAAGGAACAUAAAUAACUUUUCGUUAAGAAUACUAGAAUGUUUCUCGAAGUAAUCUAUUUCUUUCAAAGUCAUUGUCCCUUCUGUCAGAGUUUUAUUAAUCGUCUACGUAUCGAAACCCCUGAAAUAUAAUUUCUUCGUUUAUAGUACGGCUAUCGGACCCUCUGACAAUUCUUAGAAAAUAUUUUAUGGGAGAAGUUGUAAAAAUAUAAGAAAAGCCUUGCAAUUCAACCCUUUCAAUAAUAUCUUUACACUCUACUACUUUUUUUCUCCUAAGAUUCGAUUUAUACAUAAGUAAUUAAACAGAUGUAUCUUCUCAGCAAUUUAGUUUAUUAUUCUUACCUUUAUAUCGUACGUCUAAGGGGGAUAUCUUUCCCCUUCCACAAAGGACAUGCGCGUUACCCUCUCUUUACCAUUAAACGCUGAUCGUCCACAGUAUAUUUUUGUAACUCGAAGAGAAAUGAUCGUAUCAGAAAGUAAAACAACGAGACAAAGAAUUGAAACUUAUAAAAUAUAAUUGUAAUUGUACGACAUGUCGUACAAUUUAUAAAAAAAAAAAAAUAAAGUCGAACCCGAUAAACUAUCAAUACUCAUGAUCUCAACAUUUAAAUGUCACAUCUAUUAAAUAUUUUUUCUUUUUUUUUUUUUCUUUUUUUUUUAAUUUAAUUAACAUAUCAAAAAAUGAAGUUUGAGUAGGAACGAACGACAUUAUCGAUCGUUCAAUGGAUCAAGAUCGAUCGAUCGAUCGAA